AUACGUAGGUGACAAGCGUUAUCCGGAUUUACUGGGCGUAAAGGGCGUGUAGGCGGUCUUGCAAGUCAGAAGUGAAAUUCCUGAGCUCAACUCGGGCGCUGCUUCUGAAACUGCAGGACUUGAGUGCUGGAGGGGAUAGCGGAAUUCCUAGUGGGGCGGUAAAAUGCGCAGAUAUUAGGAAGAACACCGGUGGCGAAGGCGGCUAUCUGGACAGUAACUGACGCUGAGGCGCGAAAGCGUGGGGAGCAAACAGGAUUAGAUGCCCUGGUAGUCCACGCCGUAAACGAUGAAUACUAGGUGUAGGGGGUAUCGACUCCCUCUGUGCCGCAGUUAACACAAUAAGUAUUCCGCCUGGGGAGUACGGCCGCAAGGUUGAAACUCAAAUGAAUUGACGGGG
rnacentral:rRNA from 1 species